GACGAACCGCCCGAACGUUAUUCGGAAUCACUGGGCUUAAAGGGAGCGUAGGCGGGCUGCCAAGUCCGGGGUGAAAUCCUCCAGCUUAACUGGAGAACUGCCUCGGAUACUGGAAGUCUCGAGGAGGGUAGGGGCACGCGGAACUGUGGGUGGAGCGGUGAAAUGCGUUGAUAUCCAUAGGAACUCCGGUGGCGAAGGCGGCGUGCUGGACCCUUUCUGACGCUGAGGCUCGAAAGCCAGGGGAGCAAACGGGG
rnacentral:rRNA from 1 species